AUGAACGCUGGCGGCGUGCCUAAUCCCUGCAAGUCGAGCGAACAGACGAGGAGCUUGCUCCUCUGACGUUAGCGGCGGACGGGUGAGUAACCCGUGGAUAACCUACCUAUAAGACUGGGAUAACUUCGGGAAACCGGAGCUAAUACCGGAUAAUAUAUUGAACCGCAUGGUUCAAUAGUGAAAGACGGUUUUGCUGUCACUUAUAGAUGGAUCCGCGCCGCAUUAGCUAGUUGGUAAGGUAACGGCUUACCAAGGCGACGAUGCGUAGCCGACCUGAGAGGGUGAUCGGCCACACUGGAACUGAGACACGGUCCAGACUCCUACGGGAGGCAGCAGUAGGGAAUCUUCCGCAAUGGGCGAAAGCCUGACGGAGCAACGCCGCGUGAGUGAUGAAGGUCUUCGGAUCGUAAAACUCUGUUAUUAGGGAAGAACAAAUGUGUAAGUAACUAUGCACGUCUUGACGGUACCUAAUCAGAAAGCCACGGCUAACUACGUG
rnacentral:rRNA from 1 species